UACGGGGGGGGGAAGCGUUGUUCGGAAUUACUGGGCGUAAAGGGCGCGUAGGCGGUUGGAUAAGUCAGCUGUGAAAACCACGGGCUUAACUCGUGGCCUGCAGUUGAGACUGUCUGGCUUGAGUGUGGGAGAGGAGAGUGGAAUUCCUGGUGUAGCGGUGAAAUGCGUAGAUAUCAGGAGGAACACCGGUGGCGAAGGCGGCUCUCUGGACCACAACUGACGCUGAGGCGCGAAAGCUAGGGGAGCAAACAGG
rnacentral:rRNA from 1 species